UACGUAGGGUGCAAGCGUUAAUCGGAAUUACUGGGCGUAAAGCGUGCGCAGGCGGCUUUGCAAGACAGAUGUGAAAUCCCCGGGCUUAACCUGGGAACUGCAUUUGUGACUGCAUGGCUGGAGUGCGGCAGAGGGGGAUGGAAUUCCGCGUGUAGCAGUGAAAUGCGUAGAUAUGCGGAGGAACACCGAUGGCGAAGGCAGGUCUCUGGGCUGACACCGACGCUCAUGCACGAAAGCGUGGGGAGCAAACAGG
rnacentral:rRNA from 1 species